rnacentral:rRNA from 1 species
ACUCCUGCGGGAGGCAGCAGUGGGGAAUAUUGGACAAUGGGCGCAAGCCUGAUCCAGCCAUGCCGCGUGAGUGAUGAAGGCCCUAGGGUUGUAAAGCUCUUUCACCGGUGAAGAUAAUGACGGUAACCGGAGAAGAAGCCCCGGCUAACUUCGUGCCAGCAGCCGCGGUAAUACGAAGGGGGCUAGCGUUGUUCGGAUUUACUGGGCGUAAAGCGCACGUAGGCGGACUAUUAAGUCAGGGGUGAAAUCCCGGGGCUCAACCCCGGAACUGCCUUUGAUACUGGUAGUCUUGAGUUCGAGAGAGGUGAGUGGAAUUCCGAGUGUAGAGGUGAAAUUCGUAGAUAUUCGGAGGAACACCAGUGGCGAAGGCGGCUCACUGGCUCGAUACUGACGCUGAGGUGCGAAAGCGUGGGGAGCAAACAGGAUUAGAAACCCCUGUAGUCC